rnacentral:lncRNA from 10 species
UAUUGAAAAGUUUACAGUCCCUUAUCUAAUGGCAAAUUGUGUGUAUGUAUGAUUUUUUUAUCUUGUUCUCUUAAGAUUUACUGCUGCUUAAAAUUACUACCAGUAAUCCUUAGUCACUCCCAACUGUUUCUGCUGUAUCUCAUGAAGUGUUAGAGCGUUUAUGAGAAACAUAAAUACAUGUAUAAGCAUAUUGGUCACACCUUCUGGGCUAGCUAGGGUCCAAAGUCUAUCCAUGAAAGCUACAUGCAUGUUCUCUCUCACACACUCAUGGACUUUCACCUGCACACACAUACAGGUCCCCAUUUGUAUAGGUUUAGUCCAGUAAGAGAAUGGAGAAGCUCAGUAAAGGUAGGAUGACUUCCCAAGGUUAUACGGCUGAUCAACUGUUGGAAAUUAAUUACAGACCUUGCUUUACAACCCAGGUUUUGCUAUUUCAGGUAAGUACUACCUACAGCAGGAAUCAGUAACGUUUGGCCCUUUAACCCAAACUGGACUGCUGCCUGUUUUUGUAAAUAAAGUUUUAUUGGAACAGA